AGAUUGAACGCUGGCGGCAGGCCUAACACAUGCAAGUCGAGCGGCAGCACGGGUACUUGUACCUGGUGGCGAGCGGCGGACGGGUGAGUAAUGCCUAGGAAUCUGCCUGAUAGGUGGGGGGUAACGUUCGGAAACGGACGCUAAUACCGCAUACGUCCUACGGGAGAAAGUGGGGGAUCUUCGGACCUCACGCUAUCAGAUGAGUCCUAGGUCGGAUUAGCUAGUUGGUAGGUAAGGCCUACCAAGGCUACGAUCCGUAACUGGUCUGAGAGGAUGAUCAGUCACACUGGAACUGAGACACGGUCCAGACCUCCGUACGGGAGCAGCAGGUGGGAAUGUGGACAAGUCGGACGAAAGCCUAGAUCCAGCCAUCGCCGCGUGUGUGGAAGUAGGUCUA
rnacentral:rRNA from 1 species